CCGGCGGAACCAGGGCCCAGGCUGGGAAGGAGCCGCGACUACUUGCAGGAGGGUGAAGCGUCUGUGCUGCUGAGGUGGGGGGGAGAAGAGUACCAAUGUAUGAAGCUUUAAAGAAACGGCAGUUUGGGGAAAGGCACCGACUCGGGAGCUGUGUUUUUCUCCAGGGUUCCCUCCAGCCCUCCCCGGCUAAGGCUCGGCCCCAACAGUCCCGCGCCUCACCCAAGUGCCCCGAGUCCUGCUUCCGCCUCCGCUGCAGCCUCUCCCGCAGAGAAUCCAGCUGCUUUUUGUGGGCCUGGAUAGAGCUCCACGUGUCCGACAUUUCGGUCUCGCAGCCCAGACACGUCCCGAACCAAGAGCGACUGCCUUCCACCUCUCAGCCCUAGUUCCAAGAAUUAUCCAACUCUCAUGCGGACACCCGAAGCAUAACCGGAAAGAGAUCCCGGGAGACGCACCGGACGGAAAGUCAUUUCCGGUUUUGCUCUCCCUUUGAAGCUGAAACGAGAGCCACCUUAAGUGUUGGCGGAAUGGCGGCAACCUGCGGCACACGGAACUUACCUGACCAGGGACUGAACCCACAUCCCUCGCAGCGGAAGGCAGAGUCUUAACCACCAGACUGCCAAGGAAGACCCUACUUAACAGAGGCUGAAAACAGUCGUCAAGGAUUCUGUGGAAAGAAUUUAUUUGUGGAUGUGAAGUUUGACCUUUAAGAAUACAUCAUUUGGCAACCAGCCAACUGGACCUCUCCUGUUCAGCUUGCACACUUAAGGGAAUAGCUUAAAGUACUGUUGGGUGUUUACAUUGUGGAGCCAAUUUUCAAGCCAGACCACUUGAGCAUAAUCUCUGUAUCCUUCAUUUGUGAGCACAGGUUGCCUCUGAAUUAGUUAAAAUGGAUGUUAAGGUACUGUUAGUAUCAAAAAAAUAAGUCCCUGAAAAGCAAAGAUAUGAUGUUGCUUUUUAAAAAAAUUGAAGCAUAAUUGAAUGUUGUUGCUCUUUGAAGAAAGCCAGUCAUUAUGUUUGACUCUCAGAGAUUUUCCUACAUGUUGUUUUGUGAUAUCAGCAUAACACUCCAGUUAAAGAAGCCCAGAACUGUGAAGAACAAAGAGAAGGUAGGUGAUUGGAAUGAGAUCCUUGGAAGAGAAAGAAGAGGGGCCAGUCAGGGAUGCUAAUUCCCAGAGCUCUGUAACUCCUCUGGACUCAAGGUAAUCAACCACAUGGGGAAUCUGCCGAGAAUUCACAUUCCUAGCCUCUACCCCUGAUCUACUUAAUCAAUCUCUCGCAGGGUGGGGAUGGGGAUGGAGCCUACGAUUUAAAAAUAAGCUCUUAAAUGAUCCUUUUGCAGUUUGAGACAAUUGAGCUUGACUGUUGCUUUCUAAACCAUAAGCUCUAGAUUCUUAGGGGUCUGCAGUGUUGUUGCAUCAGAAUCCAUGUACACAUGAAGUGAGCCCAGCCUGUGGCCCCAAUAAAUAACAUGCCUCUCAAAUGUAUAUACUACUGUUGCCCAAAUGUUUGUUGAUGUUGUUGAGUGUAAUACACUUUUAAGUCACUGAAAGUGUUUCUAGACUCAUAAUGGCUUUUGCUCUAAAAAUACAACUACAGUCAUGUGGGAGUCCAGGAAAUUCUUUGCCAUUUCAUUGAAGGCCUCUUCUCUCCAGACAAUACCCUGUUUCUAGUUUGUAGAGGAGCAGGCACUGUGGAAGCAUUUCAUCUACCUUCCUGAAAGUUAGAAUCCCAUGAGGAAUUUGAUUUUAAUUGCAAGAGAACUAAACUAGGAGUCUAGAAAGCAUGUAACCUUUCUAUUGAUAACCUUAGUCAUAGCUAAUCAUAGCUUGGGUGCAUUCUGCUUACUACGCCCUUUAAUUGCACGGUCUCAUUUAAUCCUUAAAAUAACUUUGCAAGGUAAACAUUGUAUAAUCCCCAUUUUAGACAAGCAGAACACCCCAUUUUACAAAUGAAGAAAUUGAGGCAUGGAGACGCAAAGUAGCUUUCUUGUUCAAGGUCUUACAGCUGAUAAACAGCAGGUUGAAAUUUGCCCAAGUCAUGCCUGAUUGGACAGCCUGUGUUUUUUCCGCCACAGUGUGACCAUUUAUUGCCAUCCCACUGAUUUCUGCCUCUGCUAUAGGCCUCACUUUCUGGGUGCAGACCUGGAGGAUGACAAACUUUCAACUUACAGAGAAAAUGUGAAGACCUACAAAACCAUUCCAGCUCCUGCUGUUCUUCACAGCCAGUCUCUGGGCUCAGCCCCAAGCCUUGAGGGGCAGUAAAUGGAUUCAGAGUUGCUGCUCAAACACAGAUCCCCAUGGAAACCAAAGGACUAAGAAAACAAAAAGAGAGGAAGAGGCAGCCACUGCCUGACCUUUUAUGCUCACUCUUCAAAUUCUUUUCGCUCUUGGGC